UCGUGGCAAUGAUUUGUGAGUUUAGUGCAAAUAUGGUGGCCGUAUAAAGUUCAUUUCCACUGCUAAUCUUCGUUGUGGUUGCUCUGCCAGAAUGGCUUCGGCAGUCUGCACAAAUGGUUCCCUGCAAGCUCUGCAAACGGGUCCCUCUUCUCUCUCGGGCUCCCACGAGGCCACAAGUCCAUAACGCCUGCACGGAGCGGAGCCGGAGCCGGCGACGACGACGAACGGCGGCGCCUCGGUUUCUCCGCGGAGCAUUCGGCCGCAGCCGCUGCAACGGUUAGUCUGGUCUCCGUACCUCCCCCCUCACUCCGGUUGGCUACUCCAACUGGCACCCAUGCGUGUUCGUGCUCUUCGUAUACUGAAUUUCUUCGCCCAUUCCGCGGUGUGUCGUACUACCGUGCUAGCGGCUAGAGCCUGUCUCUCGUCUCCAUUUUCCAAUUGCGGAUUGGUUCCCCAUUGGCCAUUGGAUCAGUGAAGUUAGGCCAAACCGACCCCCCCCCCCCAGCAAUAACCUAAGCGGGCAGUGUGAGAAUUUGUUUUUCUUAAAAGAAUAGCUCACUGUGUACUCCUUGCUACCUGUUGUACGGGAUUUACACAGAGCACCGUUGGAGACAGCCUUAGUGCCUUACAUUGAGUUAACACUAGUAUACCAGUCAGUAAUACAUAAAUAGUUCUGCCCUUAGCACUAUUGCAAUUGGCUUCUGAAUUCCAUUCCUAUAUCCAAUUCUUCUUUGGUGUGACUUUCCCAAAUAACAGUGCUCAAGAUGAGCAUGAGCUGUGUCAUAUAUUUCCAGUAUCCACAAAAUAAUUUGGGGGAAAUGGAAAAGGACAAUUUACAAAAGAAUACCUAACAUGGCAAUAUGCCAGAAGCUGUACAAAAAUAAUUACAAGGUUGUCAGGAACAGUAGUUCGUGGGAAGCUACAUGUAUGCAGCUUACAAUGGACUACAAGUGAAUCAUGUUUAACUGCACUAUAUCCUAACUGAAUUUUGCAUCCUCAGGGUGGGCUCUAUAGUGUCAAGGCAGGAGGCUACUUCCAGUAUGGUUGGCCUCAUGCACGCGUCAUGGUCGACACACUUGCAGGCUAUUUCAAGAACCUUCAGCAUUUGCUCGUCAUGCCCCAAGCCUCGUAGAUGUGGAUCGAGGACCUCAAUCUGCUUCCCUUCUGAUUUCAUCUCCUGCACCCACUUCACAAGUUCUUUUGAUAAAAACAAGGCUGAGACAGGCCGCCUUCCUGUGAGCAGCUCAAGCAGAACGACUCCAAAACUGUAGAUAUCACCUCUCAACGUCGCAACCCAGCCUUGCCCAUACUCAGGUGGGAUGUAGCCCAGAGUGCCAACUAGCUCAGUUGUGACAUGAGUUUUGUUUGCAAGGACUAAUCUUGAGAGCCCAAAAUCGGCAACGUAAGCCUUGAAAUCUUUGUCAAGUAGGAUAUUACUGGACUUUAUGUCACGGUGGACAAUGUGAGGCUUGCAGACAUCAUGGAUAUAAGAAAGGCCUUGGCUUGCCCCUUGCGCAAUUUUCAGCCGCAUCGGCCAACUGAGAAAUGUGCUGGCAUCAUCAUCCAUGGUGUGAAGCCAAUCAUCAAGGCUGCCAUUCUCCAUGUAGGAAUAUACGAGGAGCCUUGAAUCUCCCUGUAUGUAGUAACCCCACAGUGGCACAAGAUUCUCAUGCUGGGCCAUGGAGAGUGCUUCAACCUCUGCCUUGAAUUCCCUUUCCAUGGUCAACAUUUCACCAUUAAGCUUCUUGAUGGCCAGCUUGGUCCCAUCAGGUAAUAUAGCCUUGUAGACCAGACCAUAGCCCCCACAACCUAUGAUGUUUCCCUGGUGGAAGUUAUUUGUGGCCUUCACAAUGUCAGCGAAUUUGAGCUUGUUUUCUCCCCCUUCUCCUCUUGGCACUAUCACUAAUGACUGUUCUGAAUCAGACACGUGUGAAGUUGCUUCUACAUCUUCGUUAUCACUGAUCUUGCUUUUCUUUAUCAACCUUUUACACUUGAAUGAGACAGCGAGAUAUACCAGAAGCAGAAGAAGAGCAACUCCAAAGAACGAACCAAAUGCAAUCCCAAAAAUGGCUUUCCUACUGUGUUGCUUUGUUGAGACUGUUGGUGCGACUGCUGAGCUACAACUGUGAUGGAGGAUAGGUCCGCACAGCUUUGGAUUACCUUCAAAGCUAUUAUUCGAGAAUGUACUGAAUUGGCCUCCAGUAGGAAUAGGCCCUUCCAGGUUAUUGUAAGAAAUAUUCAGUGCGGAGAGGAAGUGUAGGUUGUUCAAUGCUGAUGGGAUUGCACCUCUGAGAUGAUUGUUAGACAAGUCUAGUACUUGCAGAUUUGUUAAGUUGCAGAGUUCCAGUGGUAUUUUUCCCGAUAAGUUGUUCGAGCUGAAAUUGAGUACAGCGAGCGACUUCAACUGACCAAUUUCUUGGGGAAUCGCACCAGUUAAGUUAUUGUAACCAAGUUUCAGCAGUUUUGGAAGAGCACUGGUUAUCCGGUACUGGAGCGAUGGGUUUUUAUAAACAGGUAGCUCAAAUACCCUUGGAUCCAAAUGGGUUGCAGUCUUUUCUGUCGUUAGCAUUGGCAUCUCCAUUAAGGCUGUUGGUAUUUCCCCUGUAAGCUUGUUACUUGAUAUGUCUAGAUGGAAUAGUGACUCUAAGCUUUUGAUCCAGGCAGGUAUUGUCCCACUGAGUUGAUUCGUGUGCAAAAGCAGCACCUGCAAAUUUUUGAGCUUCGAUAACCAAAGAGGUAUUUUCCCAGACAACGAGCAGUUAGACAUGGAAAGAACCUGAAGAUUCUGAAACCCGUCAAUUGUCUCAUCUUCUGGCAUGUCCUCACCCUUGAAGUUGCUUCCAAUAAGUAGGGAGGUGAGAUUCCUACAGUUCUUGAGUAUCUGAAGCGUAUUUGUGAUAUUUGUAAAACUGUUGGAAACUAGUGACAGGAAAACAAGAUGCUUCAAAUUGGCUAUUGCUGGGGAAAGCUGUCCAUGCAAGUUGUUGUUAGAGAGCCGCAACGCAUUCAGCUUGCUGCACGAGUAGAUGCUUUCAGGAACCGUGCCGGAGAAGCUGUUGUACAGAAGAUCCAAUGUUUUCAGAUUGGGCAGGCUGAAGAAGUCGACCUUCUGAAGCUCUCCGCCGAAGUUGUUGACCUUGAGGUCAAUCGUUAUGAGAUUUGUGCAGUUGCUUAGAGUUGAUGGCAGCUCCCCAGACAUGUCGUUGUUGUUCAGAUGCAGUUCCUCUAACCUCUCGAGCUGGCCUAUGGAAUCUGGGAUGUUUCCGCUUAGCCUGUUGCCUCCAAGAUCAAGGUGGGCCAGAUUUCUGAGCUUCAUGAUGUGUUCGCUAUCAAGCAUUCCGUGCAAACCAUUGCCGGGAAAAGAGAGGUACUCUAGUGACGUAGCAUUGAAGAGUUCAUCGGGGAGUGACCCACUGAGGGCAUUGUGGCCAGCCUUGAGCACUCUGAGCAUGGAGCAGUUACCAAGCCCAGGAGGAACGAGGCCACUGAGUUGGUUAUAGCAGACUUCAAUCACAGCCAAGGCCGGUGAGCUACUGCAGAUAUGGCUUGGUAUCUGUCCGGUAAAGCUGUUGUUGCUGGCAUUGAGUGCAACCAGACUGGUCAUCGCCUCCCAUGUGGUCGAUGGAAACGGUCCUGUAAACAAGUUAGUCGAGAUGUUGAGUACUUGCAGAGGACGGGGAGGGGUUGACGAAGGUAGCUCGCGCAGGCCUCCGUUGAGACGGUUGAAGCUGACAUCGAGGACAAGGAUGCUGUUUGACGACGUCAGCUCCGCCGGCAGGCCACCGGACAGCAGGUUGUGGGACAGGUUGAGGCGCAGCAGCGCGGUGAGCUCACCCAGGGACGCCGAGAUUUGCCCCUCAAGGCCCCUUGAAGCAAGGGAGACAUCGGUGACUGCCCCGUCUGCGCCGCAACCGACCCCUUCCCACGCGCAGCAGCCCGUGCCAUUCCGCCACGACGAGGCGAGACCGCCGUCCCGCGAGAGUCCAGCGAGGAACUGGAGGAGGGCGCUCCUCUCCUGCUCCGAGCACGAGCUCGUAGGCGGGAGGAAGGCGGAUAGCAAGAGCGCGAGCGCGAGGCCUAGGAGAGGUUUGAGAAACCCAUCGUUGUUGUGCUUGUCGUUGUCAUGUGAGGGAUGCACCCGUUGCUGCUGCUGCAUGGCUUCCUGAUGAAUGAAACUAGCAUCAAAGCAGAUGCUUGGAUCUGAUGCUGACUGGACGACGAUGCCCAAUGAAACUAGCAGAAGAGCGCGUGGAGGAAGAAGAGACAACAGGCAGCCCCCAGUUUAUCUGUUGCUUGCAGUUGCAGCCGUACGUAGGAAAUGGAAAUGAAAAUUGGGUCAACUUACUGCAUGGCUGCUGUGGGCACACAUCCACACCCUUUUCUUUUCCCGGCGCAUUUGCCACAGCUGGUUAGCAGCUUCUCGGCUGAUUCACACGGCCAGAUUCAGAGCUCCACGUUUUUGGAUGAGCCAACCUGGUAUGAUAGUUUUAUGUAAAAAGUCCAAACCUUCUGCGCGAACCCAAAAGGAAAAAAAAGGGGGCUGCUUUCGUCUCCACCCACCCAUUGGUUACUGUGACUACUGAGUCGUUGCAGGAUAUGCAUAAUUUCAGAUGGCGAUUCGAUCUCAUACUUUAAUCAUGAUUUAAUUUAAUAUACACUAGUGUUAUUGUUUCCAUGCAUUAUCUCAGUCUCUACUAAUUGCAGGCUUGCAGCUACUCUGUUGUGGCCGAUUUGGGUCCCCAAGCAGCAAUGCAGCAGCACGAUAGACUUGUCUACUUGUCGUUCCAUCUUCAUCAGCUGUUCUGUUGACCAAGAUGUGGCGCUCACGUCUGCACGAACCGGAUCCAAUUCUUUUGCCCUCGGUCUCCCUCCUGCUUUAGUUGACCUCAGAUGUCGGCUGCCACUUUGCAGUGUACUGUAACCUGUAUAUCUACCUAUUGUAUUUCAAAAAGGAAUACCGCAGAUCGAAGCCAUGUAUUUCAAAAGUUUCUUUUGUGGCAUGUAUUUCA
rnacentral:lncRNA from 1 species